rnacentral:rRNA from 1 species
GACGAACGCUGGCGGCGUGCCUAAUACAUGCAAGUGGGACGCAAGGGAACACACUGUGCUUGCACACCGUGUUUUCUUGAGUCGCGAACGGGUGAGUAACGCGUAGGUAACCUGCCUAUUAGCGGGGGAUAACUAUUGGAAACGAUAGCUAAUACCGCAUAAUAUUAAUUAUUGCAUGAUAAUUGAUUGAAAGAUGCAAGCGCAUCACUAGUAGAUGGACCUGCGUUGUAUUAGCUAGUUGGUAAGGUAAGAGCUUACCAAGGCGACGAUACAUAGCCGACCUGAGAGGGUGAUCGGCCACACUGGGACUGAGACACGGCCCAGACUCCUACGGGAGGCAGCAGUAGGGAAUCUUCGGCAAUGGACGAAAGUCUGACCGAGCAACGCCGCGUGAGUGAAGAAGGUUUUCGGAUCGUAAAGCUCUGUUGUAAGUCAAGAACGUGUGUGAGAG